rnacentral:rRNA from 1 species
UACGGAGGGUGCAAGCAUUAAUCGGAUUUAUUGGGCGUAAAGGGCGCGCAGGCGGCUACGCACGUCCGUUGUGAAAUCGCUCGGCUCAACUGGGCGGGGUCGGCGGAUACGGCGUAGCUGGAGCAAGCUAGGGGGCAAUGGAAUUCCCGGUGUAGUGGUGGAAUGCGUAGAUAUCGGGAGGAACACCAGUGGCGAAGGCGGUUGCCUGGAGCUUUGCUGACGCUGAGGCGCGAAAGCGUGGGGAGCGAUCCGG